GAUUGCAGGCUGCAACCCGCCCUGCAUGAAGUCGGAAUUGCUAGUAAUCGCGGAUCAGCAUGCCGCGGUGAAUACGUUCCCGGGCCUUGUACACACCGCCCGUCACACCAUGGGAGCCGGUAAUACCCGAAGUCAGUAGUCCAACCUCGUGAGGACGCUGCCGAAGGUAGGAUUGGCGACUGGGGUGAAGUCGUAACAAGGUAGC
rnacentral:rRNA from 1 species